rnacentral:rRNA from 1 species
GACGAACGCUGGCGGCGUGCUUAACACAUGCAAGUCGAACGGAAAGGCCCUGCUUUUGUGGGGUGCUCGAGUGACGAACGGGUGAGUAACACGUGAGUAACCUGCCCUUGACUUUGGGAUAACUUCAGGAAACUGGGGCUAAUACCGGAUAGGAGCUCCUGCUGCAUGGUGGGGGUUGGAAAGUUUCGGCGGUUGGGGAUGGACUCGCGGCUUAUCAGCUUGUUGGUGGGGUAGUGGCUUACCAAGGCUUUGACGGGUAGCCGGCCUGAGAGGGUGACCGGCCACAUUGGGACUGAGAUACGGCCCAGACUCCUACGGGAGGCAGCAGUGGGGAAUAUUGCACAAUGGGCGGAAGCCUGAUGCAGCAACGCCGCGUGCGGGAUGACGGCCUUCGGGUUGUAAACCGCUUUCGCCUGUGACGAAGCGUGAGUGACGGUAAUGGGUAAAGAAGCACCGGCUAACUACGUGCCAGCAGCCGCGGUGAUACGUAGGGUGCGAGCGUUGUCCGGAUUUAUUGGGCGUAAAGGGCUCGUAGGUGGUUGAUCGCGUCGGAAGUGUAAUCUUGGGGCUUAACCCUGAGCGUGCUUUCGAUACGGGUUGACUUGAGGAAGGUAGGGGAGAAUGGAAUUCCUGGUGGAGCGGUGGAAUGCGCAGAUAUCAGGAGGAACACCAGUGGCGAAGGCGGUUCUCUGGGCCUUUCCUGACGCUGAGGAGCGAAAGCGUGGGGAGCGAACAGGCUUAGAUACCCUGGUAGUCCACGCUGUAAACGGUGGGUACUAGGUGUGGGGUCCAUUCCACGGGUUCCGUGCCGUAGCUAACGCUUUAAGUACCCCGCCUGGGGAGUACGGCCGCAAGGCUAAAACUCAAAGGAAUUGACGGGGCCCCGCACAAGCGGCGGAGCAUGCGGAUUAAUUCGAUGCAACGCGUAGAACCUUACCUGGGUUUGACAUGGAUCGGGAGUGCUCAGAGAUGGGUGUGCCUCUUUUGGGGUCGGUUCACAGGUGGUGCAUGCCUGUCGUCAGCUCGUGUCGUGAGAUGUUGGGUUAAGUCCCGCAACGAGCGCAACCCUUGUUCACUGUUGCCAGCACGUUAUGGUGGGGACUCAGUGGAGACCGCCGGGGUCAACUCGGAGGAAGGUGGGGAUGACGUCAAGUCAUCAUGCCCCUUAUGUCCAGGGCUUCACGCAUGCUACAAUGGCUGGUACAGAGAGUGGCGAGCCUGUGAGGGUGAGCGAAUCUCGGAAAGCCGGUCUCAGUUCGGAUUGGGGUCUGCAACUCGACCUCAUGAAGUCGGAGUCGCUAGUAAUCGCAAAUCAGCAACGCUGCGGUGAAUACGUUCCCGGG